UUCUCAGCUUCACAUUCCGUUUUCUCCCUCUGCUGGCAGUCAGAGACAGAGAAGUUGUAGCUAAUAGAAAACAACAAAACUCUCCAAAGGCUGAAGCAUUCACGAAUCUCAGAACUCUGCGGUACAUGCUGAGAAAUUAGGUCGUACCAUACUUGAGUCCAAUUAGUGCUGGAAAUGGCUGACAGUCAUCCUCUGUACAGAGCAGAGUAAUUCCUGGAGAAGAUCAGCACAGCUAAAGGCAGUCCUUCCUUUCGAGAGGCAGCGGACGGUCUCGUGUGUUCAUGUUACAGCACAUAUGGGCUGCACAAUCAAACUUGGAAGUCACCUAUUUUUACUUUUUUUUUUAAAGCGCAACUUCAGCUGUCUUCCCAAACCUGGAACAUCUCAAUGGGUGGCGUUUCUUCAGCACAGGAUUUCCUGCCACAUGCAAUUGCUCUGCGGAGAUGAGCAGAGAUGCUUCUCAGUUGCCCUAGAGCUGCACAGUAUCUUCUAUUCAUUUGUUAUCUCUCUGCCAGGGUGGGCACCAAAGCAGAGGUCCAGCUCCUUCAUUUUAUCAACUUCCCUGCACACAGAAAGAGACUUGCUGUGGCCUCAGCUUGCCCACAACAACACAGGCUGGGAGUUUGUAGAGAUGAUGUGUCUGCUGGCUUCAGUGAUGUUCCCCUUUCACGGCAGAAAACAAAGCCUAGUUGUUCAGCAGAGCCAGCGUGAGCUCAGAAAACUGAACAGGGAGAAAAUCUGAACUUUUAAGUCAAUGUCAUAUGUCUAAAUUCAGCUUCUUCCUGAAUCAUCUAUUUACCUGUUACUGUCCUCAAUUCGCUUCUGUACUUCUUGUGGAGCGUGUUGCAACAGACAGACUGAGUCGUUUUCUGUCUUAAUCAAGCUGCAUGUGGAAAUGGUGUGCUAAAUAGGCUCUGAAGUUUGUCUCUAAUUUGUGUUUAGCUGUUAGGAGUGGUUACUACUGCCAUCCCCAAAAUGUUUCUAUUGCAAUCAGCACCAAUUUCUUCCGUGUGCUAGAAAAUGCAUGCUGCAAAUAGUGAGAUCUGAACAGUGAAGUAGUAGGACCAGUCCAAAUGGAUAUUGAAUGCUUUCAGCUUCCAUUGGCCUCUGGGAUUUUGGAACUCAGUGCUUCUUAACCUCAGGCCUUCAGAAAGGAUUUAUUUUUCUUUUCAUUAUGCUCUUAGAGAUGUAGGGGUUUGUGCUUCUUUCCCCCUUCCCCUCUUUCCUCCCAGAACUUUAUGGAGGAACAGUUUUGAUUUCCUUGGUCAUAAAAACAAUUCCCUUGUUCUAUGCCCUGUGGUCAAAUGUAGCUUCAUAUGUUGGACAGCUGAUUGCAAGGAUUUCCUUCAAAAAAAUUUGUCAGCAAGCACAAUAUGUCCUGCAGCAUCCUGCCGUGUGGAAGGUGUGUAAAUGACAACAGCAAGACAUGCAGUUAAACAGGAAUUAACAGGAUUUCAGCAAAACAAGUAUGAAAGCAAUUUGGGAACAUCUUGAGACAGUUUUUACGUGGCUUUUAGAUAAAUGAGCAAAAAGAACUUGCAAAGGAACCUCUCAUCUGAUCAAAAAGACCUUUUGCUUUUCUGUGUAUAUUUUUGAGGGACAUAUAAAUGUGGUAAAGAAACAUUUUGAUAGCAAAGUCAAGAGGAAAAUGUAGCCAUAUCUACUGAGAUAUGUGUGUAUGACUGGUAGAUCCAAUAUGCAUUUGCCAUUGAAAGGAAAUAUAUCUGUCCAUAUUGCUGCCAAGCACCUAACAGUGCUUUAUAUUUUCCUCCUACUACAUGGACAGUGUCAUCUUCCUUCCCUAAACACUAUUCUUACUGGAGCAAAAGCCAUAUAACACAAAACCUCAAUAUAUGGAAGAUUUGAGUGGGGGAGGUAGGCACAGAUUUUUUUGAACAUUUUCUUCCAUUUUGCUUUUGAAUAUUAAAAACAUUGAAAUAAUUCUUUAUUUCCCCCAAUGUCCAUACAAGUCAUGCACUAUAACCUUCUACAUAUGUGGUCAAGUGGAGGAGCAGCUAACUUUGGCAAUUGUCCAGUUUUUCCAGACAAAACCAGGUUUUGCUUGUGCUUUGGGUAUGUCUGCUCCCAUAGAUGGUUCUGUAUCCCUUUUAGGCACUUGAAAAAAAUGGACCACUAAUUCACAGGUGGAAUAUUUUUAGCCUAGCUUGCUGUUGCUAACUCCAAAGAAUUUAGUCACUGAAAGGCCAAAAAUAUGGGAAGGGCUAAAAUCCAGGGUUAAAUGUCAAUCUUUUUUUAUGUCUACUUGUAUUGCUAUAUAUUAGUGGUAUCCUUUCAUGGAUUGUGGUGUACUGUAUGUUCAUGCUCACCCAGCAAUUAAUCUGUUGUGCAUGUCUGACAGCCCAGUCCUAAAAUCCUUUUUAAUAUGUCACAGUAUGGAAAGGCACAAUAAUGUGGGUUUGAUAUGUUUUAACUGUAUGGUCCUCCUGGGCAUGUAGGAUGUUGUAGCAGAUGGAUUUCAUGUAAAUAACAAGUAUAUUUAACCUAAAGAAAGAGGAAAAUAUGUCACCUCUCCACAUACCCCUACUUGCAAAGUAGAAGAAUUCUCCCUUGUUUUCCUAGUUCUAACUGGUCGAGAUACUUUUAGGAAACAGGUUAUUGUCUCAUUUUUAAUGCACAGUAUUCAGUGUGGCCUUAUUCAGGUGUAAAGGAAGAUGUCUCACAACUGACCUUAACAAACAAAAGGUGUGAUGUGAGACAAGUUGCAAGUGGAGGAAGAGAGGGACGAGAAGGAUGGGAGGGAAACACCAUGAAAUUAUUUAAAUGUUCCCCUUACAAACAAUGGAAAAUUAUAGUUGUCAUUGGUUGCACUUGCUUCAACCAUGAAGAGUUUCACUUGUACUUCAGCUAGGUUCCACAUCUUUUCCUUUUUCUCCUCCAUCACCUCUGCAUGACAUAUUCUGUCUCUUGUCCUGCUGUACAGAUGUGCUGCAUUAUCAGUCCAAAUUUGUUUUCCUGCUAUGUCAGGUACAUUUUUUCCCAUAUGUCAUGGGAUGGCUUAACUGAGGAUGGUGCUUCAACAUGUGUGCAGUGAAGGCUAGGAAAUGCCACAUUUCUACAGCAUUGGGUGUGCUUGCUCUGUUAUGAGUCAGGAAGAUUUGAGAAACUGAUGUAAUACACUAAAUAAAUGAUGUAUUACUCAA